rnacentral:rRNA from 1 species
UCCGUAGGUGGAUAAUUAAGUCAGAGGUGAAAUCCUGCAGCUCAACUGUAGAAUUGCCUUUGAUACUGGUUAUCUUGAGUCAUUAUGAAGUGGUUAGAAUGUGUAGUGUAGCGGUGAAAUGCAUAGAUAUUACACAGAAUACCGAUUGCGAAGGCAGAUCACUAAUAAUGUACUGACACUGAGGGACGAAAGCGUGGGAAGCGAACAGGAUUAGAUACCCUGGUAGUCC